ACUGAGGAAGAGUGAAUUGGAAAGAGAUGGUCUCCUGACUACCAUGCCUCAGAUCUGACUACCGUCCCUCAGAUCCAGUGCUGAAUGAACAGACCAUCUCCAACACAGACACCAAGGCAAUAAGUGGAUCCAAUGCAACAUGAUGGACAGAGAGGAGGAAAACCUUUGUUACCUCAACUUGUGACCCUUUCGUGGCAGAAACGAUCUGCCUCCAAGUCUACAGCCAUACUGGAGCAA